rnacentral:pre_miRNA from 2 species
UGGGGGUGCUGAUUGCUCGUUAUGUCGAUAUAAGUUCAUACUGGCCUUCAACAUCCCAAA